UACAGGGGGGGCAAGCGUUGUUCGGAAUUACUGGGCGUAAAGGGCUCGUAGGUGGCCGACUAAGUCAGACGUGAAAUCCCUCAGCUUAACUGGGGAACUGCGUCUGAUACUGGAUGGCUUGAGUUUGGGAGAGGGAUGCGGAAUUCCAGGUGUAGGCGGUGAAAUGCGUAGAUAAUCUGGAGGAACACCGGGUGGCGAAGGCGGCGUCCUGGACCAACACUGACACUGAGGAGCGAAAGCCAGGGGAGCAAACGGG
rnacentral:rRNA from 1 species